rnacentral:lncRNA from 1 species
GUCGCCAUGACGACCGGGAGGUCCGCAACGGCUGCGGGGACAAGUCCGUUGAGGCUGCCAGGCGAGUCAGGUCUCUCUGGACCUCGCCUGACUCGGCUGGGCUGUGCCUGAAAUUGACCCAGCUCCACCAUACUCCUUGAUUAUGAGAAAACAAGGAAGGAAUUGAAAACAAGCAGUUCCCCAACCAAACGGGCACAGGCUGCGUUUGCAGCUCCUGUAAAAGCUCCAUACCCAGAGCAGUGUCUCCUAGCUCCCAGCUGUCUUUGUGGCAAUUUUACAUUGGUUACAUUUAGUAACACUUUUUGAAAAUGAUCGUCAUUUCUCUCACCUCUCAUCUUUGGAACGGGAGAUGACUUUUCGCACUGAAAUGGGACUUUAUUAUUCAUACUUCAAGACCAUUAUUGAAGCACCUUCGUUUUUGGAAGGACUGUGGAUGAUUAUGAAUGACAGGCUUACUGAAUAUCCUCUUAUAAUUAAUGCAAUAAAACGCU